rnacentral:pre_miRNA from 1 species
CAGACAUUCGCAAGAGCACAUUUUGACACUAACAAUAAUGUACUCUUCCUAAUGCCUGGC